rnacentral:miRNA from 1 species
CAUGAUGAUUAGCAUUUGU